CAACAACCACCACAACCACAACCACAACAACCACAACCACAACAACCACAACAACAACAACAACAACCACAACCUCACGCUCACCCCGCUACAGCCGGCGUGACUCCGCCUGCUGCCGGCGACACGGAGGGCAGCGUGGAGACUCCCACAGGGAAGGUCCCAGCUCACGCUGUGUUCCAGCCGGACCCACAGCUGUCGGAUCACGGCCAAGCAAAUGCAGCGGACAGAGACCUCUACACCACCCGCAGCCAGCACUAGCACCCUGCUCACCCACUCGCUCACUCACUCACCCACUCACUCACCUACUCACCCACUCAACCACUCACCCACUCACUCAACAACUCACUCAACAACUCAC